GGAGCUGUAGCUUAGUGGUAAAGCAUCUGCUUGACAUGCAAAGGUCCCAGGUUCAAUUCCUGGUAUCUCCA